rnacentral:rRNA from 1 species
UACGUAGGGUGCGAGCGUUAAUCGGAAUUACUGGGCGUAAAGCGUGCGCAGGCGGUGAUGUAAGACAGGUGUGAAAUCCCCGGGCUUAACCUGGGAACUGCAUUGGUGACUGGCGGGCUAGAGUAUGGCAGAGGGGGGUAGAAUUCCACGUGUAGCAGUGAAAUGCGUAGAGAUGUGGAGGAAUACCGAUGGCGAAGGCAGCCCCCUGGGCCAAUACUGACGCUCAUGCACAAAAGCGUGGGGAGCAAACAGG